GUGAACCUCCUGGGGCAGCAGAAGGAGAAGCUGGGGGCAGUCCAGCAAGGCUGCCUGUGCUGUGAGCAUUCCCCACCCUGCGCCAUCAGUCCCGUGCUCAUGACUGUCUGAGAUUCGAGAAGAGUACCAUUUCCCCAAAAUUAAUUUACCAGCAAGAGGAGGAACUUCCUCCAUGCUGAGGAGCCGUUGCCUGGGGACCCACCCUGUCAGCCCAGGCCCUGGGUGGGGACACCGUGAGGACAGCAAGAAGGUGUCUGGCAUGGAAGGUUAAAGAUGUCUCCCAGGGGCCUCAUGCCCUUGGAGUUGGGGCCGUGAGAAGGACACUGGAUUACAGAAGCCCUGUGGCCCACUGGCCUUCAGGAGUCAGGGUGUGAUGGCAGCAGAAAACCGUGGACUCAGCUAUUUAAAAAGCAUUUUUCAUCUAAAGAAACGGUUCCCCGAUGAAUCAUAGAAACCUGUGAGGCCCUUAAUUUGUGAUAUUUGAUUGGGAAAGAAGAAACAAUAGCUAACACUCACCACAAAGAUUACCACCUGUAGGGUAAAAGAUGGGUUUCUCCCUGGAAACUCCAGAGCUUCACGCCAGUGUGGGUUGGCCUCAUCAUCCCUUGUGCUCAGGCAGAGGAGGAAACAGCCGACAGUCUGGCCAGAGUCUCCCCAUCUUUCCAGAAUGAAAGUCCGAUUUGCUGAAAGGAGACUACAAAAUCAUGAAUGGAGGAGGGAAUGAAUGAAUGGGCGAGUGCUGGAGAGACGGAAGGAUGAGUGAAUAGCUGACUCUAUCUGCAAAACUUGGUAUUACUAGAAAACCAGUUUUAUUUUAAUAUGGCCAAAAUAUUUGGAGGUUAAGGUCACAGAAGUUUAAAUUAUUCAAUAAGAAAUUUGAAGCCAAAAUCAUGGCAUCAAAAUCCAGAAUCAUUCCUAUAAUGAUAAGUUCAGAGUUACUAAACUGUAGAAAAUAUGCCAAUGCUCAGGCACUGUAUAUUAUUUGAAAUGUCUGGAUUGGUUGGGGAUUUUUAAAAUAAAAAUACAAUUCUUCAAUAACAAAA